rnacentral:rRNA from 1 species
GGUGGUGCAUGGUUGUCGUCAGCUCGUGUCGUGAGAUGUUGGGUUAAGUCCCGCAACGAGCGCAACCCUUAUUAUCAGUUGCCAGCAUUCAGUUGGGCACUCUGGUGAGACUGCCGGUGAUAAACCGGAGGAAGGUGGGGACGACGUCAAAUCAUCAUGCCCCUUAUGACCUGGGCUACACACGUGCUACAAUGGUCGGUACAACGUGUUGCGAACUCGCGAGGGCAAGCAAAUCACUUAAAACCGAUCUCAGUUCGGAUUGCAGGCUGCAACUCGCCUGCAUGAAGCUGGAAUCGCUAGUAAUCGCGGAUCAGCAUGCCGCGGUGAAUACGUUCCCGGGCCUUGUACAC